UACGAAGGGGGCUAGCGUUGCUCGGAAUCACUGGGCGUAAAGGGUGCGUAGGCGGGUCUUUAAGUCAGGGGUGAAAUCCUGGAGCUCAACUCCAGAACUGCCUUUGAUACUGAAGAUCUUGAGUUCGGGAGAGGUGAGUGGAACUGCGAGUGUAGAGGUGGAAUUCGUAGAUAUUCGCAAGAACACCAGUGGCGAAGGCGGCCCACUGGCCCGUAACUGACGCUGAGGCACGAAAGCGUGGGGAGCAAACAGG
rnacentral:rRNA from 1 species